rfam:Clostridium sp. CAG:590 genomic scaffold, scf487
CGACUUGGUCAAAUGAUCGCGGCUGCAGAAACGAAAGGCUGCAGGUGAGGAAAGUCCGGGCUUCAUAGGGCAGGGUGCCGGAUAACGUCCGGUGGAGGCGACUCCCAGGCUAGUGCAACAGAAAUAUACCGCCAGGUAACUGGUAAGGGUGGAAAGGCGAGGUAAGAGCUCACCGCUGUUUUGGUAACAAAGCAGGCUCUGUAAACCCCACUCGAAGCAAGACCGAACAGAAAACAAUGUGGCUGCCCGUCACGUUUUCGGGUAGGUUGCUUGAACCUGUUGGUAACAGCAGGUCUAGAUAGAUGAUCAUUCAACGACAUAACCCGGCUUAUCGACCGAGUCACUUU